UACGGAGGAUCCAAGCGUUAUCCGGAUUUAUUGGGUUUAAAGGGUGCGUAGGCGGCCUGUUAAGUCAGAGGUGAAAGACGGUAGCUCAAACUAUCGCAGUGCCUUUGAUACUGACGGGCUUGAAUAAACUAGAGGUAGGCGGAAUGAAGACAAGUAGCGGUGAAAUGCAUAGAUAUGUCUCAGAACACCGAUUGCGAAGGCAGUUGACUACGCC
rnacentral:rRNA from 1 species